CUUUCUUUGAAGUGUCUUUGUCUGGUUUAGGAAUCAGGGUGAUGUUGGCCUCAUAGAAUGAAUUUGGAAGAGCUCCCUCUUUUUCUAUUUCCUGAAAUAGCUUGAAAAGUAUUGGUAUUAGUUCUUCUUUAAAGUUUUGUAAAACUCUGCUGUAUAUCCAUCCAGUCCUGGGCUUUUCUUGGUUUGUAGUCUUUUGAUGGCUUCUUCUAUUUCCUCAAUUGAUAUUGGUCUGUUUAAGUUGUGUGUAUAUCCUUCUCACUCAAUCUGGGCAAAUCAUAUGACUUAAAAAAUUUAUUGAUGUCUUCACUAUCUUCUAUUUUAUUGGAAUAUAAGGUUUCAAAAUAAUUUCUAAUUAUCUUCUGUAUUUCUGAAGUGUCUGUUGUGGUAUUUCCUUUUUCAUCCCAUAUGCUAGUAAUUUGAGUUCUCUCUCUUCUUUUCUUCAUUAGCAUGGCUAAGAGUCUGUCAAUCUUAUUUAUUUUUUCAAAGAACCAACUUUUAGUUUUACCAAUUUUUUAAAUUGUUUCUUUUGUUUCAAUUUCAUUGAUUUCAGCUCUGAUUUUAAUUAUUUCUUGCCUUCUACUACAUUUUCUGUUGUUUUGUUCUUCUUUUUCUAGGGUUUUGAGAUGAAGUGUGAGAUCAUUUAUUUGUUGUUUUUUUCUUCUUUUGAGGAAUGAACUCCAAGCAAUGAAUUUUCCUCUUAGAACUGCUUUCAUUGUGUCCCAUAGAUUUUAAUAUGUUGUGUCUGUGUUUUAAUUUAUCUGUAAGAAUUUUUUGACUUGCUCCUUGAUGUCUUCUGUAACCCAUUGAUCAUUCAGUAACAUAUUGUUCAUUCUCCAAGUGAUGUAGGAUUUUUCCUUCCUUCUUUUAUCAUUUAUUUCCAGUUUCAUUCCAUUGUGAUCAGAUAAGAUGCACGGUAUUAUCUCCACUCCUUUAUAAUUUCUAAGAAUUGCCCUAUGGCAUAAUAUAUGGUCUAUAUUUGAGAAGGCUCCAUAUGCUGCUGAGAAAAAAGUAUAUCCACUUGAUGUUGGUUGAUAUAUUCUAUAUUAUGUCGGUUAAGUCUAAGUUAUUAAUUGUGUUAUUGAGUUCUAUAGUUUCUUUAUUCAACUUUUGUUUGGAAGAUCUGUCCAAUGGUGAGAGAGAUGUGUUGAAG
rnacentral:lncRNA from 1 species